CAUUGCCCCUCAAAGUAAAAUUCAAAAAUAUCGAAAAAUUACCAUAAAAACUAAAAAAAAAAUCAAAGAAUUUUUAAAAAAUAGAAAAAUUUUGAUAAAAUUUUGAUUUUUUUCAGGUCAAAGUUCUUCUUAUUGAUGUAAUUCUGGGGAAUUCAACAUGAUUUUUUGUCAGGGUUUAUUCCCUUAGCCACGCCAUCCAGUUUCUAAUUUUAUAUUCAUAAUUAUGACAUUUUGUUCUGAAAAUCAGAACAUUCGAACCGGGAUUGCUGCAAAGGUUGUUCAAAACUUCCAAAGUUUUUCUGUUCAAUUAUUCAUUAUAUCCUCCCGAAUUGAGGGCGAAAAGUUGAACGUUUGUUUUGCCAUACGAAAAAAAAGGACGAGUGAACAUCAUGUUAAAAAUUGACACUACAUAUGGUGUGAUGAAGCCAACUCCCCGAGGAAAUUUUAAUACAUAUAAGAUAGCUCUUAAAAGUGAUACACCUAUUUGCCUAUCUUACUUAAUGUACGUACCUUGUCUAUUUUGUAAUUUAACUAGAAAUCAAUUUGUUUUUUUGUUUCAGGUGAGUGAAAAAUUUCAAACAAGGUAGCUUAGGAUAUGGAAAACUGAUUAAAUCACUUAUCACCCAUCCAAGUUCCAGCCAAGCCAGAACUCCGGACCUGACAACCUCAAUUGAUUGAUUGAUUGAUUUUUAAUAUUUAAUUAGCUCGAAUUGCUUAUGUUUAUUAAUUAAUAAAUAGUCGUUUGGUUUGUAA